rnacentral:rRNA from 1 species
UACGAAGGGGGCUAGCGUUGCUCGGAAUCACUGGGCGUAAAGCGCACGUAGGCGGAUUGUUAAGUCAGGGGUGAAAUCCUGGAGCUCAACUCCAGAACUGCCUUUGAUACUGGCGAUCUUGAGUCCGGGAGAGGUGAGUGGAACUGCGAGUGUAGAGGUGAAAUUCGUAGAUAUUCGCAAGAACGCCAGUGGCGAAGGCGGCUCACUGGCCCGGUACUGACGCUGAGGUGCGAAAGCGUGGGGAGCAAACAGG